rnacentral:rRNA from 1 species
GAUUGCCUCAGUAACGGCGAGUGAAGCGGCAAAAGCUCAAAUUUGAAAUCUGGCUCUUUCAGGGUCCGAGUUGUAAUUUGUAGAAGAUGUUUCGGGUGUGGCUCCGGUUUAAGUUCUUUGGAAUAUUACAUCAUAGAGGGUGAGAAUCCCGUAUGUGACCGGCAGCCUUCGUCCAUGUGAAACUCUUUCGACGAGUCGAGUUGUUUGGGAAUGCAGCUCAAAAUGGGAGGUAUAUUUCUUCUAAAGCUAAAUAUAGGCCAGAGACCGAUAGCGCACAAGUAGAGUGAUCGAAAGAUGAAAAGCACUUUGGAAAGAGAGUUAAACAGUACGUGAAAUUGUUGAAAGGGAAGCGCUUGCAACCAGACUUGCACGCAGUUGAUCAUCCGGUGUUCUCACCGGGGCACUCUGCUGCGUUCAGGCCAGCAUCGGUUUUGGUGGUUGGAUAAAGGCCUUGGGAAUGUGGCUUCCUUCGGGGAGUGUUAUAGCCCUCGGUGCAAUGCAGCCUACCGGGACCGAGGACCGCGCUUCGGCUAGGAUGCUGGCGUAAUGGUUGUAAGCGACCCGUCUUGAAACACGGACCAAGGAGUCUAACAUCUAUGCGAGUGUUUGGGUGUCAAACCCAUACGCGUAAUGAAAGUGAACGGAGGUGAGAACCCUUAAGGGUGCAUCAUCGACCGGUCCUGAAGUCUUCGGAUGGAUCUGAGUAAGAGCAUAGCUGUUGGGACCCGAAAGAUGGUGAACUAUGCGUGAAUAGGGUGAAGCCAGAGGAAACUCUGGUG